AAAGAACCACAAGUGCCGGAACAAUUACACCUAAAAUUUCUAAAAGCCCUGAACCUACAUGGACAACACCGGCUCCCGGUAAAACACAAUUUAUUUCUCUGAAACCUAAAAUCCCUCUCAGCCCAGAAGUGACACACACCAAACCUGUUCCCACCACAGACAUUGAGCCUGUAACUGUGAGAACUGAGGCUACAGUGACAACAUUAGCUCCAAAAACAUCGCAACGAACAAGAACACGUCGUCCACGUCCCAAACAUAAAACCACGCCACGCCCAGAGACACUGCAGACCAAACUAGACUUUGGACCUAUUACUCCUGGGACAUCUUCAGCUCCAACAACAACAACAAAAAGAACCCGUCGUCCACAUCCCAAACCUAAAACCACGCCCCAUCCAGAAGUACCUCAAACUAAACUGGCUCCCAAAGUGCCUCAACGAACUCAUCGUCCACAUCCCAAACCUAAAACCACACUGAGUCCCGAAGAGCUUCAGACUGAACUGGUUCCUGCUACAAUCUUUGAACCAGUUUCUCCUAUAAAAGAGGCUCCAGGGACAACAUUCG
rnacentral:lncRNA from 10 species